UACAGAGGUGGCAAGCGUUGUUCGGAAUUACUGGGCGUAAAGGGCGCGUAGGCGGCCUUCUAAGUCAGACGUGAAAUCCCCAGGCUUAACUUGGGAACUGCGUCUGAUACUGGAAGGCUUGAAUGCGGGAGAGGGAUGUGGAAUUCCAGGUGUAGCGGUGAAAUGCGUAGAUAUCUGGAGGAACACCGGUGGCGAAGGCGGCAUCCUGGACCGACAUUGACGCUGAGGCGCGAAAGCUAGGGGAGCAAACGGG
rnacentral:rRNA from 1 species